rnacentral:tRNA from 1 species
GCCUGGCUAGCUUAGUCGGUAGAGCGUGACACUCUUAAUGUCAGGGUUGUGGGUUCGAGCCCCACGUUGGGUG